GGACCAACUCAUGAGCAGGAAGAGAUGGACCAGGGAGCCUGACGGUUGUCACUCUGAAGAAGCAUCAGGUCACCAAAGAACCCCAGCUACCUGCUCAUCAUCACAUCCCAAAUGGCUGAGAGGUGCUGAGCAUGCCCUGCAUUUGUCUAACAGGAGUGAUUAUAAACUAAAUACCGCAGAGGCCACAUUCAGGGCUUGUGCCAGCCAGCUACUCGAGAUGCUCCGGGAGGGGAGUCCCUGUAACCCACGAGCUGGAGGACAGCAUGAUGACAUAGGAAGGCCCUGUCUCAAGGAAGUGAAGAGGUGUGGCUGGGAUGCAUGGGGACUGUCCAUCCCAGAGACUCCAGUGCAGAUAUGAACUAUGAUCUCUAGUUGGUCAGAAAAGAGGAGCUCUCAAAGUCGCCACAAGUUACAGUAUUGUUUUUCUGAGCCCCAACACUUCUGCCCUUGAACAAGGUCCUUUUCUACAGUUCUUCUGGAUCUCAGAUGUUCUGAAUCUCAUGAGAUCGUUAUUUCCAUCACUGAAAUGGCAGACAUUGGUACUGAGCCCUUUGAGAGAUGUUUUACUCAAAUGCUUAGACUCUGACCCUGACACCUGCCCGUGAGUUGAGUGUGUAAACAAUAUGCUCAUUGUUUGGUAACCUGCUCAUUUCUCCUUGACAGCUCCUGUGAACAUUUUCUCUAUGUUACUUAGUAUAUGAA